GCCUAGCCUUAAACAGACAUCACCAAAUUACUAUGAUUUUCGCCAGGGUACUACGAGCUCUAGCUUAAAACCCAAAGGACUUGGCGGUGCUUUAGACCCCCCUAGAGGAGCCUGUUCUAGAACCGAUACUCCCCGUUCAACCUCACCCCCUCUUGUUCUUUCCCGCCUAUAUACCGCCGUCGUCAGCUUACCCUGUGAAGGUGGAAUAGUAAGCAAAACUGGCAAACCCCAGAACGUCAGGUCGAGGUGUAGCGUACGAGGGGGGAAGAAAUGGGCUACAUUUUCUGACCCAGAAAACACGGAUGAUAGCACUGAAAAAGCAUCUGAAGGUGGAUUUAGUAGUAAGGCGGGAACAUAGCGCCUACCUGAAAACGGCCCUGAAGCGCGC
rnacentral:rRNA from 1 species